rnacentral:rRNA from 1 species
CCUACGGGGCGCAGCAGUGAGGAAUAUUGGUCAAUGGUCGGGAGACUGAACCAGCCAAGCCGCGUGAGGGAUGAAGGUACAGAGUAUCGUAAACCUCUUUUGUCGGGGAACAAAGGCGGGGACGUGUCCCCGGAUGAGUGUACCUGAAGAAAAAGCAUCGGCUAACUCCGUGCCAGCAGCCGCGGUAAUACGGAGGAUGCGAGCGUUAUCCGGAUUUAUUGGGUUUAAAGGGAGCGCAGGCGGUGCGGCAAGUCUGAUGUGAAAGCCCGGGGCGCAACCCCGGGACUGCGUUGGAAACUACCGAA